GAUGAACGCUGGCGGCGUGCCUAAUACAUGCAAGUCGAGCGAACAGACGAGGAGCUUGCUCCUCUGACGUUAGCGGCGGACGGGUGAGUAACACGUGGAUAACCUACCUAUAAGACUGGGAUAACUUCGGGAAACCGGAGCUAAUACCGGAUAAUAUAUUGAACCGCAUGGUUCAAUAGUGAAAGACGGUUUUGCUGUCACUUAUAGAUGGAUCCGCGCCGCAUUAGCUAGUUGGUAAGGUAACGGCUUACCAAGGCGACGAUGCGUAGCCGACCUGAGAGGGGGAUAGGCCACACUGGAACUGAGACACGGUCCAGACUCCUACGGGAGGCAGCAGUAGGGAAUCUUCCGCAAUGGGCGAAAGCCUGACGGAGAAACGCCGCGUGAGUGAUGAAGGUCUUCGGAUCGUAAAACUCUGUUAUUAGGGAAGAACAAAUGUGUAAGGAACUAUGCACGUCUUGACGGUACCUAAUCAGAAAGCCACGGCUAACUACGUG
rnacentral:rRNA from 1 species